rnacentral:lncRNA from 1 species
CAGGCAGAGGACUUCUUGGUGUGACUUCCUGCGUGUUGCAACCCGAGCAGCCUGUCCCGCCUCUGACCUCUGCUGUGUGGACUCCAGCCUCAUUCCCGGGUACCCGGAGGUGAGAGGUUCAGGAGUUGACAUACAGGAUGUGGGCUGUAUUUCUUUCCCUUGGAAAAGGAGAGGUAACCGAAGAUAG